GAUGAACGCUGGCGGCGUGCCUAAUACAUGCAAGUCGAGCGAACAGACGAGGAGCUUGCUCCUCUGACGUUAGCGGCGGACGGGUGAGUAACACGUGGAUACCCUACCUAUAAGACUGGGAUAACUUCGGGAAACCGGAGCUAAUACCGGAUAAUAUCUUGAACCGCAUGGUUCAAUAGUGAAAGACGGUUUUGCUGUCACUUAUAGAUGGAUCCGCGCCGCAUUAGCUAGUUGGUAAGGUAACGGCUUACCAAGGCGACGAUGCGUAGCCGACCUGAGAGGGUGAUCGGCCACACUGGAACUGAGACACGGCCCAGAGUCCUACGGGAGGCAGCAGUAGGGAAUCUUCCGCAAUGGGCGAAAGCCUGACGGAGCAACGCCGCGUGAGUGAUGAAGGUCUGCGGAUCGUAAAACUCUGUUAUUAGGGAAGAACAAAUGUGUAAGUAACUAUGCACGUCUUGACGGUACCUAAGCAGAAAGCCACGGCUAACUACGU
rnacentral:rRNA from 1 species